GCACCCCUAAACUGAAUCGUUGGCCUGGCGAUACUUGCCGUGGCGAGCAUUCGCCAGGCUAUACUAAGGUAUGCCUAUCUAUAUUCUGUGUAGUAGAGUGUACGGCGUGGCUUCUCACUCAGUUCGACGUUGUUGUUUACUACGGUACACAUAACCUGCGUUUUAUUUAAUUUUUCAUUUUAAUUUUUGACAAUAAAAUAUGUGUGACAGUGAUAACUCAGAAGAUCAAAGUGAUCAACCUUGUGCAAAGAAAGUGAAACUACACUAUGGUAUACUACCAAGUCAUCAUUCCCAACAAUCAUCAGAAGGAUCACAAAAUAUUAUUAUUGAAACUGGACGUCACCCUGAUCAGUUAAACACAAGGCAUACUAUCAAUGUUGUGUCAGACUUUAUUAAUCGAAUAGUACCAGACUAUUUUAAACUAUUGCAUCUAUUGGAAAUGUGUGUUCUUCACAUGUUAAACUACAAGACGGAAGUGAAUUAAUUAUGAUUGUAAUAUACAUUUCACCUAAUAACAAAAUGGAUCAUCUCAUUUCAUUUUUACAUGAAAGCUGCAUAUUUCAGUGUAAAUUUUGCAAGAGCUGAAUCAAUGCCAUUAAUGACAUUUCUUCAAAAAGAAUUUCAAUGGCAAAUCAAUAACGAUCCAAAAGAAUCUACUACCAAAUAUGGAACAACAAUAGAUGCUGUAUUUGUGAGAUAUCUUGAUGGUGUUUCAUCCAAUACUUUUGUAACGUACUUUAGUUAUCAUCGACCAAUCGUCACAGUAAUACCGGCAGAGGAAAAAUCGAAUAUAACUAUUAUUGAAGCCACAGAUGAAAAUAUUUAAAUUGUGGCAACUUGAUACUAAUAUCGAAUUUUUAUAUCAUGUAAAUAAAUGUUUAUUAAAUAAAGUUACCAUUUACUGUAAGAAUCUCGUAAUACUUCAUUUUUUCAUUAGGCUAUAUUUAAUUCCUGUAAUAAUAUUAUCUUUUAUGCAUAUUACUUGUACACACACGAUGUUUCACAUCUGCCAGGCGUCCCAUGACGGCUCAUUUUUUUUUUUUU